rnacentral:rRNA from 1 species
UGUUAAAAAGCUCGUAGUUGGAUCAAGGGUCGGACAGUGCACGGUGGCCCUGUUUGCUCGCUUUGGCUCCGGUCAGGGUGGCGGCAGCGGAACUACCCCGUGCAUCAAACUGUCCGCUCUAACAGGCCGAAGCGGUUCCCUGUGAGUAGACACCUUAAUUGGGGUUGGAAGCGCCUACGCAUCAACCACAUGCAUACGGGACGUCGGCCAAUGUUACUGUGAACAAACCAGCGUGUCCAAAGCAGGCUUGCCUGAAUGUUCGAGCAUGGAAUAACAAGGGAUCGAUUAUCUCGGUUCUUUUUGUUGGUUUUUAACCCGAGAAGGAGUAAUGCAGGCCACGGUGUCUGAGGUGGGUUUCCCUAGGCUUCGGUUUAGGCCCCAUCUAGGCCGUGUCCUUACGGGAUCAAUAGGGACUGACGGGGUCGUACCUACUUCCGCGUCAGAGGUGAAAUUCUUAGAUCGCGGGAAGAGGAACUUCUGCGAAAGCAUUCGACAAGAAUGUCUUCAUUAAUCAAGAACGAGAGUGUGGGGAUCGAAGAUGAUCAGAUACCGUCGUAGUCCACACUGUAAACAAUGCCGUCUCAGGAUUGAGAAGUGAACCUAAUGACUUUCACAGCACUAACCCCUGA